AACUCCAAAUCUUAAAAUUAACUUUUUUUAAAAAAAAUUAAUCUUAAGCAAUAUAUCUAUUUUCAAACUUUAACCAUAAACCCUAAACCACAUACUUCAACCUAUGUGAUAGAACACUAAACCUCAAACUUUAAAUAAAAUAUAAUUUUAUAAUAUAUAUGUAUAUAUAAUAUAUUUCUCAAAUUAUAUACAACAUAUAAAAUUUUACAUUAUACAUUUCGAAAAUAAAAAACCACUAAACAAAUAAACAACAAAAAAGAAGAAAUACUAGCAUUUAAAAUCUUUUUAUCAAAUUAGUUUUUAAAUCACAUAACCACAAAAUUCAAAUGGAAAACUUUUAGUUAAAAUUCUAUAUAAAUUUAUUUAAAUUUUGACAUUUUUAAAUAAUUAUAGAUAAAUAAAAAGUAUAAUCUUUAUUAGUUGUUUUUUGGCCUUUGAUUGAUUUUGAUCCAAAGGCUCAAAAUCACUCCUUUGUGAUCUUCCACCUUUCUUCUUAUUGGUCAGUUCCUCAAAAUUUGGAUUAAUAUUUUAAACCAUUGAUUACUUGUAAUCCAACGGAUAAGAAUUAAUCUAUCUUUUCAUUUCUCUUCCUCUAUACUCUAUCGAUCUCUUUCUUUCACAAGUCUCAGAUUCUGGGUUUCACUAGCCUCAUCUCUCACCAUCUAUCACACACACACACACACACGCUAUAGAUCUCAUCUGUUUCUUUCUUCCUUUACAGUUUCUCAUCUCUCACGAUUCUCUGUUAACAACAAAUCAACAAAAAAUCCACGGAGUGAUUUCUCUCUACAACAAAUCAACUCAGUUGCAGAGGCUGCUGACAAUUGACAGAGAUAAAAUAUGGAGGAGGACGACGGAGGACAUGGCUGAAGCGUCGAGGAUGGAUGAAUAUGGCAGAUGAGGACCUGAUCUGGCGGAGAGCUUGGCGAUGGAGGACGUGGCUGACGGCAUGGCUGAAGCGUCGAGGAUGGAGGAGGAAAGCAGAUGGCGUGGCUGACAGCUUGGUUUGAAGCGUCGAUGGUGGAGGAGUUCGUGAUGGUGGUUGACAGAUCCGGUAAAGGAGGCGGCUGUUGGAGCUCUGCGGCAAAAUAGAUGGAGGCACGAGGAGUUAGGGUUUUUAGGUUUAGCGGUAAACUGUAUAUUUUUUUUACGUUUAGUUUUUUGUUUGUUUUUAAUUAGGUUAAUUUUGUAAACCUACUUUAAUAUGUAAACCAAAUUCAAUUAUUUAGUAAAAAUAAUUUAAUAUAUUAUAUAUUUUAACUGUAUUUUGUGAUUUUUUUUCUUUUUUUUUUUAAUUUUUUUUUAUAUUUUAAUAAUAUAUAAUAGCAAAAAUAAAACGUUAUUAAAAAAUAUUUAAUUGCACGCAAAAGAACGCUAUAAUAUAUGACAAUAAGAUAACAAUACCAAAAACCGCUAUCUAAUGUGUUUGACCUAUUAUGACGGGCGAUGAUACAGCGCUUCAUAAACCGCUAUCAUAUUUUUAGAUAGCGUUUUUCGUCCGCUAACAAAAGCAUUUUUUCUUGUAGUGGUUAAGUUUGAAAAUAUUAUAUAAAUAAUGUCUUUUUUAAAGGUAAAUAUUGUUAUUUCUUACUUUAAUUAUUUUUGAUAUUUGUUCUUUCUGAAAACUGAUACCGACCAAACUUGAUAAGUCAACCAACAGUUGUACGAGUGCAAACAAACCAGCCAAAUACGACUUCUAUGAAAUCACAUCUUAUUAUAGUUAAGAUCAUGUAAAUCAAAGUAAAUUUUUGCAUUUUGUUAAUUUACCGGUUCUCUAGACAACUAAAAACAUACAACUAGAAAAAUGGAAUAAUAAUAUUCAAAGAA